rnacentral:lncRNA from 1 species
GCCUUCAGGAUUUGCUCCGGAUUCCGCUCACGACUUUCUCAGCGUUCGCUUGGAGGCGAUUUCAAACUCUCCUCUCUUCUCUUUCUAUCCCAUUUUUACUCUCUAAUUUUACUAACCUGUUUGUUCUCUCUUUCUUCUUCUCUCUUUAUAUCAUAUCCUUUUCAUGUCUCUUUCGAUUUUGAUUCUGUAAUAUUACUAAAAUAAUGUGUUCCUCCUUUUAUUAUAGGUUAAAAUUUGUAGAUUGAACAUCUCCUUCAAUUAUCUCAGGUACUUAUCAUUUUCUUUUUCAUGCUCUUUCAUCUUUGUCUCGCUAAUUCCUUCAUAUGUUUUUUUUUUGAAAUGAGCAGAUAUGUUUAAUUACCCUUUAUUUUGUUAUGUUAUCUAAUUCAUCAAACUUUGUCAUGGAUAUGAUUUUUCUGCGAUUUUAUAGACAUGCUUACUUUGUAGCAUCAUAUAUAUUUGGUUGCUUUGCAAGUGUUUAAUAAAAGUCCUGACAUAAAUUUUUGUUUCUUAUACUGAUUUACUAUUUUGCAAGUUUAGAUUACAUCAUAUAUGUUUGCAAGAGGCUAUGAAGUUUGACAAUUACAAAAAGAUUGAAUGAUUGUGAUACUUUUAUUAUGGAUAACACUUCUAGAAUUGUGAUUUGAUCUCUGAAUCUCCAACUUAGUGAUGUAUUUUAUUGAACCCAGCCUGUUGAUUUUUAUAUCAAUACUAAAUACUAAUUCCUCAAGUUCAAAUAGAUAUUUAGACGAGUUUCAGUAAAAGUGUGAAAAGUCCUAAAGACAUUAUAGUAGUCAUUAGAAGUGGGAUGUUAUGGUUAUCAUAAUAUAUUAUUGACGCUUUUGUUCUGGCCACUCUUAUUUAAGGGUGGAGGUGAUAUUAUAUACACGUAAGAUUACAGAAAACGAACACAUGCAAUUGUUCAUUAAACAUUAAACGACAUCAAGUACAGAACCUAUUUCGCUUUGAAGUGUAAGAGUUGUCUGUUUGUUUACAAUUAGUAACAUCAAAUGAUUAAUUGUCAUGAUUUAUUAUAAUUUCAUAACUCUUUACUACUAUACUGUUUGUUGCAGGGCACAAAGAAUGCUGACAGGAGCAGGCAGCACCAUGUCCCUGUGGAUCAUGUUGGCCAGAGCGACAAUCAUAACCAGCCCAGUCCAGAGAACUCUUUCCUUAGUGGUAUAAAACAAAGAAUGCUUUCAUUUAUAUUUCAAGGGAUAUGGAAUAAAGAAAGUGAUAUUACUCUGGUUGGUCAUUUCCUAUCUUGUUCAUGUACUCUUAAAAAGUGUCAUUUGUUUUUACAACUAAUAUUUUCUAUUGGAAUUUGGUUUCAAGUUAUCGCUCGGAAGUUGAGUAAUGGUGCUUAAAUGGUUUGAAUUCUGGUGGCAUCAAAAUUAUAAUUUGAAAUUUUGGAGAUCAAUCAGGGAUUAAGGAAGAGGAAUUGCAUAUUCAUCCUUUUAGUUAACAACAGAUACUUUCUUAGAUUUGUUGAAUUUCAUUUCGGUUGCGGUCCAUAUUGAUAAAGAAUUAUUGCACUCCGCAUUCGUUCUUCCUCCUUAUUUAGUGAACAAACUCUGCAUUCCGAUCUUCUCCUUAUUUAGUGCAGUUUAUGAAAAUUUAUGAAAUAGUGUUUAUUAGUGUAGAAUCAUGAGCUACAUGAUAGAAUAGAAAAACCUAGAUACAUUUAGUCUAAGCAUCAGUAGUAUUGUAUUGUUUAUCAUUGAGAUCUGAUGAAGUAUCUCUCUUAUUGUACUACCAUCUCCUCCAAUGAUUGAUUAUUGAAAAUUAUUGUCUACUGCCAAUUAUUGGUUUAUAACAUUUUUGUCUACUGCCAGUUUGUGCUGCUUCUUGGUAUGAUUAAUGAGGACGAAAGUGAUAUGAUACAGGUCCGAAGGGGGAAAAUUAACGAAAA